UUCAGAAGGUCCCUUCAGCUACAACUCCGGACGUCAUCGUCCACUGGCUGUAGUGAGAGGAGAAACCUCAGCUGUGCUCUUUCUGCUGUGUGAGACGAGUAAAGAUACUAGGUUUCAUUCCUGGAACAUUUAAAGGCAAAUGCUUAAAGACACAAAAACUUAUUCUUUCCAAAUCCACAAGGUAUAAUGGGAUUACAUUUCAAAGGGAUGGAAAGUCAGAUACAUAGACAAGCAGUAGGAAGAAAAGGAAAACCAGCGUUGUCCCUGCCAGCAGCAGACGAGGACUGUUACCACCGCUGCAGUUGUCUUCCAACCCUCCAAGCAGGUGCAGAUGAGCUUUCCUUGGAACCCGCCAGCUUCGCAGGGAGUCUCGAGAAUAAUCCCGGGAGGAAGACAAAGGUUCUAGGGCCGUAAGUGUGGGGUUCGUCUUUGUAGAUACCACCUUGGAGUGAGGCAGCUUUUUUCUUUCUUCAGGGACUUUUCUGGCCGUAGAAGUUACCGUCAAACAUUUGAAUACCACUGGUAGGCAGUCCUGGUAUCCUGGACGUCACAGGCUAACAACUGGAGUUGCCCAUCACUAAGAGAGCAAGUGAAAGUAAAGAAUACUGUGGGCACACUUCAGUUUUCUGCCACAGUUUUUAAGAUUUGGUACAUGAGUAACUGUGAGGGAGAAGCCAGGGGUCACUUAUUUCCUGUGCGGAGGUGGGGAACCACUGAUGGACAGUCACCCUUCUGGAAUGCCCUGACUACCUGAGACUUCAAACUCUUGGAGGGUGAUUAAUUCAUUUAUUGUUCUACUAUUCAUCGUACCUUUAGACCUGCAAGCAGGAAGCAGAACACCUAAUCUGGGGAACAGGGAUGGUGAGGGGAGGGAGGCUUGGUGAAAUUUACCCUCAGGAAGGGUGGGGUCACCCACAGACUGCUCUGGGCACUAGAGAAAACAUUGUGAGAUCCUGACAAUCAUUCUUGUGAUGCCCACUCUUGAUGGUUUGCUGUUCACUCUUUGUUUAGCAGUGAAGCCCUUAUGCCAAAAAGGCUAGAGCCCUCCUUUUCAGAGAUAGCAAGGGGGAAGUGGUGAAGACUGAGCCCCACUUUACAUCCUGUCCUGUAGGAAGAAGACCUCAGAAGUGAGAGCAGAUGGCAGGUCCGGAAGGGACAGAAAGGGAUCCUUGUGGAAGGGAGAGGAGAAGAACGUGAGCAUGGUGGUGGUCCUCCUGGACCACACCCUCUGGUGAUUUGAUUGCAGGAGAUUAAGCAGCAGAAAGUUCCUGCCUGUGAUGCAAGCUCUGCAUUCCUGAACCAACGAACACAGGCCUGGGAGAUGUUCUGCAGUGACUCUGAUCGUCUGCGGAAGGCAUGCACAAUACUUAGGUGACGCUUACUACUGCUUCUCAGCCUGCUAAACUCUAUGUCUCACAAUGGAUGAAGAAUCAUCCACUCAGGGUAAUGCAAUGCAAUCAAUAAGUGUGUUAGAAGCACCCAAAAGAUGUCCACCAGUGUGCCAAACGCUGUCCUAGUAAAUCGUACGAAUCUGACUGACUUUCUGCCCUCAAUAGUAUUACAGCUUUUUACCUGUAACAAGAGACAAGGUAAAUCACGCACAGAGGUUAAGUAAGUUAACUGCUCCUUAGCAGAAGAACUAGGAAUAGGUUCUCCUGCUUCUCUUAAAGUAAUUGGGGAGAAAACAAGGGGCCUUGACACACUUAGAGUUAGGUGUUGUAUAGUUCAGGUCCCCAGCUUUGCUUGCCUAGAUUAUUGGCAUAGCUUUUCAAAAGUGAUUUCCAAAAGGAAGGAAGUAUCAGUGGGCACUGCAAGUAACAGGACUAAGAGCCAUGUUACGAAACGUUUGUAAAGUCGAUACAGAUACUGGGUUACCAUGCAACAUGUUUUGUUUACUGUAAGUCUUGAACCAAAAAAUAAAGGUGAGGGUCAGUGCUCUUUAUAAAGUGAGAGCUAGUGAUCUUUAUGAAAUGAAAAUCUGAUCUUAUAUACUCUCUCUUAAAGCCCUUAGGAGGCUCCCCAAACCCCCAGAUCUUAAACUCAGCCCUCUGAUGUAUCUUUCUGCCAAAUCAAGUUGACCGUCUUCCCUGUUCCUUCUCUGCCUCCUUCACCUGCUCCCUCUUCCACUCCUCCAGGACUCAGCUCAGUGGUUGCUUCUUCCAAGAAGCCUUGUUUUACAAGAAAAGUGUUACACAGUCAAGAUAUGUUUAUGCAACUCAGAAUGAGACAGAGUUAAGUAGACUUCUGAAUGGCAUAGCUCUUCAGGGCUCUUAAUUUGCAAACGCACUUAUACUUGUCAAAGGAAAGUUAGCAUGUGCGGCGUCAGUCACGCAAACUUCCGUGUCCACAGAACUCUUCUGCUGUAGUCCAUCUUGAAGGACCAGGAUUCCCUAGCACUUCCUUUGGGAAACUGGGACCUUGCUCGUUUCUCAAGUGCUUGUGAUGGAAUCUGUGUUCUGUCAGAAGAUGAGUGCUCACUUGGGGCAAAGGAAGUGUAGCAAGAGUGGAGCUGAAGAUGGAAUGAAGCAAGGUUUGGGGAGAUGCUGAAGAGCUGGAUGCUGAGAGUGGUGAGCAUGGAGCUGGUUCGGGGGCCAGCUUGGCCUCUACUGACCUGAAGAAUGGGAAAUACCCCAUCUGAGGGGAGGCAGUAGCUAGUUGAGGGUGGAACAGUGAACUCUAAGGCUUCAUGACUGGGUCCUUCACGCUUGGUUCAUUUCAACCCAAGUAUUCCGUAAGGAGCUUGUUGGAGACAGGACCGCAAAAGGACCGAAUGGCCUGGAGAACUAAACGACAUGGAGCCCACACUCGGACCUCUCUCUCUCAGAACCUAACAGAGUUGUCAUUCAAACCUGACAGGAGCCAGCCUUUCCAGAGUGCCUGCUGUAUGCCAGGCCCGCGUCUGAGGGCUCAGCGCUACUACCUCAUUUCAUUCCAGAGCAAUCCGGUAAGGUGGGCAUUGUAAUUAUUGUCCCGGCUUUAGAGACAAGGAAACCAAAACAACUAGUAAUGUGGUUCUGGUUGUCUAUCAAAGUAGCAUAAAACUUUGUAUUUAGAACAGCAGCUGUUUGGGAUUGGUAGGUACAAACAAACCGCUAUGUACAGAAUAGAUAAACAGCUACUGUACAGCACAGGGAACUAUAUUCAAUGGCUUGUAGUAACCUGUAAUGAAAAAGAAUAUAUAUAUGAAACUGGAUCACUACGCUGUGCACCAGAAACUAACACAACAUUGUGAAUCAACUAUACUCCAAUUAAAAAAAGAAGAAAAAAGAUAAUAAAUAAAACAGCAACUAUUUAAUUAUCUAUCAUGAGUUGGUGGGGCAGGAGUUUGGGUGGAGAUCAGUGAGGUAAGCCUUCAGCUCCAGGUAGUGUCCCUGGGGUUAUUCACUCUUGUUCAGCAGGGAGGGGGCUGAACUGCAUUGGUCUGAAGGGUCCAAGAUGGCUAUACCCGCAUCCCAGGUGCCUUGAUGGGAAGGGUGAUAAGACUGGGCUCAGCAGGGCCCCUUCUUCCCCCUGCUGUAGUCUUAAGGGUCUUCACAUAGUCUCUGUAGUUAGGUAGUGAGAUUUUUAGAUGGUGGCUCAGACAAGAAGUAGAAGCUGCCUGUUUCUUAAGACCUGAGUCAGAAACUGGGACAGGAUCACUUUUAUCGUAUUCUCAUGGUUAGAAUUGUCAGAGUCAUCUAAGAUUCAAGGGGAGAGGUACACACUUCACCUCUGCAGGAGAAAAAUGCCAAAAUACUUGUGGUCAUCUUUAACUUGCCACAGUGGUCGAGGUAAGAUAUGAACCCAGGGGGUCUGGCUCCAGUGAUGGUUCUCUGAACCACCACACUGUAAUCCCCAGUACGCUGUGCUUCCAUCAACACAGGGAGGGCUGCCUGCAUGCAUUUAGCUUCACAUCAAGAGUGAUUCUCAGCUACAGGCUGAAUAAUCUGCAUAAAUCCCUCUAAUAAAUGGGUGGACACCGCUUGAUUUGGAUUUGGACUUGGGGAUUUUGCAGGCACCACCAAUAACUAAAAGUCAGUAUCUCCAAUCGGAAUGAGCAAUUGAAUACACACACUGCCUCCUGACUCAAAGAGGGUGCUGGGUGGCCCUCUCUGACACAGGUCCCAGUACAAAAGGGCACAGCUUGACCCCUCAGAGAGGUAUGAACCCUGGCCAGCGAAUCUCUCCUGAGAGAUCUGCCCAAAUAUCGAUCCGUUGUAGCAUUCUUUCAUGUCGCUAUGGUUAUAGGUGAAGAGGUAGCUUUCAACGGAAACUCAGCCCCCGCACACUUUCUGCAAAGUGAAAUGUCACUAAUUGAGGCUUCUCAUCUUCUUUUUAAAAUUAAAUUAAGCAGACUAAGUUUAGAAAUCCAUUUUAUGGUUGUAAAAGGCCAAGAAAUUUGAACAUUGUCUUUAUUUUUUGUUUGUUUAUAAAUCUGACUUUGUGAAAGUACAUGUAUUAUUCUUCUGCUCUGUGCCUUUGCACACAUAUUCCCUGAGUCAUAUUUGGUUUCAAAACAUUCACAAACAUGUUAGAAAACAAUAGCAAAAACAAAAAGAAAGCAAGUGAAAUUUUGAAAGUAAGAUUGAGGCUUCUCAAAAAAAGUAAUGUACCUUUGAAACUUUGUUCAUUGUGGAGAAAAAAUUUUUAAUAAAAUUAUAUAGUCAGCA